rnacentral:tRNA from 1 species
GUCCCCGUAGUUUAACGGAUAAAACGACUCUCUCCUAAAGAGUAGCUCCAGGUUCGAUUCCCGGCGGGGACACCA